rnacentral:rRNA from 1 species
AGCGUAGGUGGCCUAACAUGUCAACUGUGAAAACCCGGAGCUCAACUCCGGACUUGCAGUUGAAACUGGUAGGCUUGAGGACGGUAGAGGAAGACGGAACUGCCAGUGUAGGGGGUAAAAUCCUUAGAUAUUGGCAGGAACGCCGGUGACGAAGGUGGUUUUCUGGGCCGGUUCUGACACUGAUGCUCGAAAGCCAGGGGAGCGAACGG